GUCCCUGUAGUUCAACGGAUAGAACACGAGAUUGCGGAUCUCGCGAUGCAGGUUCGAUUCCUGCCGGGGGCA
rnacentral:tRNA from 1 species